rnacentral:rRNA from 1 species
UACGUAGGAUCCAAGCGUUAUCCGGAUUUACUGGGCGUAAAGAGUUGCGUAGGUGGCAUAGUAAGUUACUAGUGAAAUCGUCCCGCUCAACGGGAUACACAUUAGUAAAACUACUAAGCUAGAGAAUGAGAGAGGUCACUGGAAUUCCAAGUGUAGGAGUGAAAUCCGUAGAUAUUUGGAGGAACACCGAUGGCGUAGGCAGGUGACUGGCUCAUUUCUGACACUAAGGCACGAAAGCGUGGGGAGCAAACGGG